CCAGUGACGUAGGUCAGUGCUCGCGACUACGCCGCUCUCGCGAGCUGCUGAUUAAAACUCGCUGUUUCGGCCUCCGAUCGCCGUCGCGUCGCGAUGAUCCCCAUUGAUAGUUCGCGCGUCGCGUACUGUGCGUCCUCGUCGCCUUUCGUCUUAACCCGGUCGUGGUGGUCACCUUGACACGCGCGGAGGACGAAGGUUAGGUCUGCCGGGGUUUCACCUGCAAGCUGCCGCCGCCAGCUCGUCCGAGCACGGAUUUCACGAGCGUGUCACGGUGUCGAGAGAUCGCGAAAGGAGGACGCAUCAGCAUAAUUAAUUUACGCACCCUCGUCGUAAACACGCCGUUGAAGAAUGGCCUAAUAAAAGACUUGUCCAGCUUAGCGGACUGUAAAAUAUCGUAACGACGUUGAGAAGCACCAGACAAUAAAAACAAUCACUGCCCGUGAAUUUGUAAUAAACUUUCUAUCGCGCGUAAACAAAUUUCGUAUCGGUCGUCGUCAUUUCAGUAGCGACGAAAAUUAUCCAAAACGAUCGAAGGAGCGUGUAGACACGAAGGACUUUUUUUUUCAUGACACUACUGCUAGUUUAGACAAUGGUGUAAGAAAACGUGACUCGAACAACUGGUGGGUGAACGAGUGGUGAAUACAUGAUCUAACACGAAACGAAGCGUGCGAAGGGUGGAAAGAAAGAAAGGAAAUAAUCGUGAAAUAAAAAUACUGAAUAUUCGUCGAAUAUGCCCCCGACGACACCGACAGACUCAGCCAUGUGCUCGCUCUGUCCUCGCUCGAAGAAGGCUCAACAUCCCAAGAAGCUUGUACGAUUCGACUCAAUCGUCGAUACGUUCUCCAUUUCCGAUUCGAACGCCAUCACCAAUCAGAGGGUAAGUUUAUUGCCCGAGUAGUAUAGUCCCUUCAGCUUUCGCCGUGUUCGUGUAAGUAGCCACUCGUUCGUGAGAUCAGAGAUUCAAAGGCGUAUUUUGCUGUUAGCGUUCGCGAGGGAAAAAUGCUGCGUAUAAAAAUUUUCUAGCGGAGUUUUUUUAGCGAACUCUUUGUCGCGAGAUCCCUUUCUCUCUUUCUCUCUCGACUCUUUUUCGGGCGCAAAAAAUCAUAACCGCAAACCAAAGGGACAACAAACAAAGAAGAAGGAGCGUUUAUUAGAAUUAGUUGAAAAAUAGACGUGCCAUGUUUCUACGAAGGCAAAAUUAAUUUCCUCUCCUACAAAGAAGAAUAAUAUGAGCAGAAUGGCACGCUGGCGCUACUUCAAAGGCGGUCCUAAUGCCAUCUGUUAUAAAACAAGAGAAAAAUCUUAAUACGCAGUUGCCCACGUAUUCACUGUGAAAUGCCUUUCCUCUUUGUAAAGAGGCUAGACGCGAUGAUUGUUUUUCGAAAAGAAAUUAAUUGGAUUGCUCUAUGGAAGAAACAAA